UUCAACAAGAGUGAAGAGAGGAGGAUGGAGAGGAGGAUGGAGAGGAAACUGGAGAAGAGACGAUAUAGGAGACUGGAGAGGAGGAUGGAGAGGUGGAAGAUAGAGAGGAGGAAGAGGAGGAUGGAGAGGAGGAAGAGGAGGAUGGAGAGGACGAGAAUCUGGCUCUGGCACGAGCCACCUGAUACUUAUUUAUCUGGGAACUUUUCCGUACCGGCCACGUUUUUGACUUUGAAACUGAUAUGUAUUAUCUGUAUGACUGACCAUAGAAGAUUGUGCGGAUAAUGUAUGUAUCGAUGGCGUGAAUAAAUGUGUGUGAACAUGAUGAAGAUGCUACAGUAGAUAUAUAAGGUUGAAUGUUGAUAGCUGUGUGUGGAUGUGAUGUUAAAUGUGUUAUAAUCGAUGUAUAAGCUUGAAUGUUUGUUUGUGAUUACCUAUGUGUAGAAAUAUGUGUCUGUAUGUUUGUGUGAUUGUGUAUAAACAUUAGUAUUAAAAUUAUUCUCAUCCAUAUCGGUACAAUUAUCUGAAUUCUCAAAAAUUCUUAGAUGACUGAUGCCCUCGUCAAUGUCUUCAGAUGUGACGGUUUUUGAUGGGAUCUUCCUGUGUUUCGGUGAUUCAUCCGAGGAAGUGGUUCGAUAGCAGGAAGCAACGGUGCGCUUUGGACGUUCCUUCAUCUGUUUGUGACAAAAAAAAUAUGUCGAUUUAAGGCUCCGGAGUACUCAUCGUGAAACUCUGAGUUGACGGUGGCGACAUAGGUUGAGAGUGCGGUAGGAAUAAGAACUAUAUGCAACGACUUACCAGUGAUCAUAUGAUUGGAAAAAGAUUUAAGAAAAGAAGA